UGGGGAAUAUUGCACAAUGGGCGCAAGCCUGAUGCAGCCAUGCCGCGUGUAUGAAGAAGGCCUUCGGGUUGUAAAGUACUUUCAGCGAGGAGGAAGGCGUUGUGGUUAAUAACCGCAACGAUUGACGUUACUCGCAGAAGAAGCACCGGCUAACUCCGUGCCAGCGGCCGCGGUAAUACGGAGGGUGCAAGCGUUAAUCGGAAUUACUGGGCGUAAAGCGCACGCAGGCGGUCUGUCAAGUCGGAUGUGAAAUCCCCGGGCUCAACCUGGGAACUGCAUCCGAAACUGGCAGGCUAGAGUCUUGUAGAGGGGGGUAGAAUUCCAGGUGUAGCGGUGAAAUGCGUAGAGAUCUGGAGGAAUACCGGUGGCGAAGGCGGCCCCCUGGACAAAGACUGACGCUCAGGUGCGAAAGCGUGGGGAGCAAACA
rnacentral:rRNA from 1 species